rnacentral:rRNA from 1 species
UACGGAGGGUGCAAGCGUUAAUCGGAAUUAUUGGGCGUAAAGGGUGCGCAGGCGGAUUAACAAGUCGGGUGUGAAAUCCCGGGGCUCAACCCCGGAACGGCACUCGAAACUGUGAAUCUAGAGGAUAGGAGGAGAAAAUGGAAUUCCACAAGUAGCGGUGAAAUGCGUAGAUAUGUGGAAGAACACCGGUGGCGAAGGCGAUUUUCUAUCUUAUUCCUGACGCUCAUGCACGAAAGUUAGGGGAUCAAACAGG